GCACCGGGUGGUCGUCAUAGCUACAGCAAGUACAUACCUGCAUGCAAGAGCAAAGGCACGGGAGGCAGAAGAUACGGACAACGUGCCUGCUACAGAUACUGAAAUGGGCAGAGGCAAACGUCGCCGCCGAAAUGGCCAUGAAAUGCCAGACGAACCAGAUCUAAGGAGCUCCCCAUCUCCAUCCAGCAGCACGGAGUUGGAACCAGGCCUUCAUGCAAGUGCACUUGGGACACCACCACGUUUCGUCAGCGAUGAUAGCCCCCAGAGCCCACAGAUCACACCUGUACCUCUUCUUGAAGCAGAGUAAGUGUUUUUAGUUGCUGAGUUCUUCAUAUCUAAAGUAGUCAUUGUGCCUGCAUUGUUACUGAUUGAUGACAUGUUUGCGAAAUCUAGAAGCUCUAAAAACUUUUUCGGAUGUGAACAGGGAGGCUGCCAGUCUGUAUUAAUGUAUG
rnacentral:lncRNA from 1 species